GACGAACGCUGGCGGCGUGCUUAACACAUGCAAGUCGAACGGAAAGGCCCUGCUUUUGUGGGGUGCUCGAGUGGCGAACGGGUGAGUAACACGUGAGUAACCUGCCCUUGACUGUGGGAUAACUUCAGGAAACUGGGGCUAAUACCGGAUAGGAGCUCCUGCUGCAUGGUGGGGGUUGGAAAGUUUCGGCGGUUGGGGAUGGACUUGGGGCUUAUCAGCUUGUUGGUGGGGUAGUGGCUUACCAAGGCUUUGACGGGUAGCCGGCCUGAGAGGGUGAACGGCGACAUUGGGACUGAGAUACGGCCCAGACGCCAACGGGAGGCAGCAGUGGGGAGUAUUGCACAGUGAGCGGGAGCCUGAUACAGCAGCGCCGCGUGCGGGAUGACGGCCUUCGGGUUAUGAACCGCUUUCGCCUGUGACGAAGCGUGAGUGACGGUAAUGGGUGAAGAAGCACCGGCUAACUACGUG
rnacentral:rRNA from 1 species